rnacentral:lncRNA from 1 species
GUAAUUGCAGUAACUAUCCUUGUAAUAAAAAAUGAAGAGACUAGAUAUUGUAAUAAAACAGAUCUUGUGAUGAUUAUAUAAGAUAUGAGUAUUUUUAGUACAAUAUAACUUCUUGUCAUGUACUUGACAAAUAUGAAAAUAUUUCACAAAUGUAUAAAUAAUAACAUAUAUAUGUAUAAAUACAAUUGAUAUUAUAAUAUGAAUAUUACAUGGUACCAUAUAAGCAAAGGAUUUUACUAACAAGAAAUGAAUUUGUAAAUGUUGAUAAAGCUCUAUUAUGGUGUAAGUAAUUAACUUGAUGUAUAAAAGCAAUGCACUGUUUUUUCAACUUCUGAUUAUGUUUUUAGAGACUUGCUUAGUUAGAAACCUCAAAGGAUAAUAAAAAAAAACUUUUUUACUUACCAAUAUUUACAGAAUAAAAAUAAAUGGUGUGCUAUUUGUCUGUGUGAGUAAAAACUUUUUCUUUGGCCAUAUAUCUAAAAUAUCUAUUCUUUCUACUCUUGAUUAAAGCAGAGUUAAUACUCAACAGACACACAUAGAAAAUGCAAACUUUAAAAAAGAAAAUGGUGCAAUAAUGUUUCUGUUUUAAGUGUGUGGCCUCUCAUAAAAGGGGGGUACAAAAAUGAUCUAAGUGUUACACUAUAGCUAAAAUUGAUCUAAGUGUUACACUAUAGCUCAGAUGAUCUAAGUGUUACACUAUAGCUCAGAUGAUCUAAGUGUUACACUAUACCUCAGAUUAUCUAAGUGUUACACUAUACCUCAGAUGAUCUAAGUGUUACACUAUAGCUCAGAAGAUCUAAGUGUUACACUUUAGCUCAGAUGAUCCAAGUGUUACACUAUAGCUCAGAUGAUCUAAGUGUUACGCUUUAGCUCAGAUGAUCUAAGUGUUACACUAUAGCUCAGAUGAUCUAAGUGUUACACUAUAGCUCAGAUGAUCUAAGUGUUACACUAUAGCUCAGAUGAUCUAAGUGUUACACUUUAGCUCAGAUGAUCUUAGUGUUACACUAUAGCUCAGAUGAUCUAAGUGUUACACUAUAGCUCAUAUGAUCUAAGUGUUACACUAUAGCUAAGAUGAUCUUAGUUGAAAGAAGUUUCAAUGUAAACAGACGUCCAUUUCUUAGGCAAAUAGUCUUUUGAAAUCUUUUUGUGAAAGAUUCUUGUAACAAAUCUAUUUUUACUUUUUAAAGUUUGAUACUCUUCUGUCCAAGUAUAUUACUUUCAUUAUUUUCUAUUGGUAGGUAUGGGAUGUACUAGUAUAUAGAUAGGAGUUUAAGUCAAUACAUCAAACAUUGCCAGCAUGUUGGAGACAGCUUACUGUAACACUUGUUGAGGAUACAGAAAAACAGUCUAAUUUGGGAUAAUAACUCAAGACACAUUCCAGGGUCUACCAUGUGUAUUUUAGUUAUUAUCCUGAGAGUAUAUGUAGCUCUCUGUAUGUAAAAAAACCAAACCCUAACAAUAACUCUAACUGACAAUGCUUAUGUAUAUAGUGCCAAUUAUACAUCUAAUAAAUUGUCAGUCACUUCCUGUUUAAUGGGGGAAAUUACCUCCAAAGAGAGUACUGGGAGAGUACCAUGCAAUCUCCAUAUAUAAUAACAUGAGCAGCAGCUCUUUGGUAAAGGAUCAUUUAUAACAUGUUGAAAGAAUUAAAUAGUAUAAAUUCUAGAUUUCAGUCUGAAAAAUUGAUACUCAUUUUACAUUAGUGCAAUCAAAAAUAAACCUACUGAAAUGUGAGGAAUAUGUAAUGAAAUAGCAACACACUGACACAAAUAUACAAAAGAUAUCUUGUGGUAAACAUAUAUAUUCUUCACUAGCAGACAAGCAUCUAUACAAUAUAUCUAAAUCAGAAGGAGUCACAUGACUUCUAUGAAAUGGAAUAUACUGAGUAUGAUUGAAAUCUUGAAUAGUCUCACAAAUGUUUAUUGAUUUGGUAAUGAAUAACUUAUACAUGUAGUACUUUGGCUGAUGUAAAUUAUUUUCUAAAUGCACUCUUAUCAGCAAGAUGUAGUAUAAAAACGAUAACACAGAAAAAUAGAAAACAUACAAAACAUAAUAAAAGUAAUGAAAACAAAAAAGACAAAUAUCACAGCAUCUAUACACACUGGCAAAAUACCCAAUUAUAAAAAAAACAUGUAAAUUGAACUGCUCUUUACCUCAGAAGUGCCCCUGUAACAAUUAAUAAACACCAUACACUUUACCUCAGAAGUGUCCCUGUAACAAUUAAUAAACACCAUAAACAGUAAAUUGUCACUGAAAUGUAGUAUAACUGAUAUGUCACUUACAUUAUCAGUAAAUACAUUAAAGGCUAUGAAGAGGAAAAAUAGGUUCAAUAUGAAAUAAAUAACUCUCUCUGGGGUACUUUAUAAAUACUAAGGAGACUAAUUAGGUAAAAUAUAAUAUUAUAUAUCUCACCAACAUAAAGAAGUCAGAUCUAGGUAUAUUUAUAUUACUUCUCCAUAAAGUUCUUGUUUAUGAAAUCUUGUUUUACAUCUGAAAUCCUAAUUAAUAUAAUCCCAUCCCCCCUUAACAAAAUAUUCAGCACAUCUUCAUAAGGAGACAAUUAUUACCCUAAAUUCAUGGAAAACUCAAAGUCAGCAGUCUAUAAUGUUUAAAUGAAUUAUAAUUUAGAUACAUGUGUCUGGAAAAAUGAUAAAAAAAAAGGAUGAAGUUAUCUCCCCUUAUAGAAUUAAAUAAAUGAUUAAAUAUAACUGAAGAACAUUGCACUUGUCAUAAACAAUUUAUAGCACCAAAUACAAAGAAAAAAUCAAAACUCACUCAGACAGCUCCAAAAAAAAGGCAAAAACUAUUCAAACAAUUGAAUAUAAGGAUUUUUAUUAAUGAAAAAAAACUUUGGAGUCAUUGACUUCAGCAAUGGCCUGCAGACAAUACAAAUUUGUUCAAACCAGUUAAAUCUGAAUGAUAAUAUCAUGAAAAUAAGCAGAUUUUAAGAGAUCCUAGUAAUUUCAUAGGAUUUGUUUCAACCACAAUUCUAACAGUAUACUGCUCUGCCAGAA